UGCUUAAGUUAAUUUAUUGUACCUAUUGUAAUAAGACGUAUAUGUAUAAUUUAUAUACGCAUCAACAUAGUGUUAAAUAUAUACGUGCAAGAAUGUUUUUAGAAAAAAAAAAAAAUUGAAAGCAGCAUACUAACAUUAAAGGAAAGCACAACCAUGUCACUAUCAACUGAACAGCUUAACUGUUUACUACGUACUCAAAACUUAAAUGAUAUGAAUAGAAUUAUAACCAACAUAUUGAAGAUACCCCUUCACAGUUCCUGUUUAAAUAAAAUAUGUAAGACGACAAAAUUAACCUUAAUAUUAAUUUGUAUAUGUAGCAAUUUUUUAAAAUAUUUUAAAUUAGAUUCAUGUGCAUAUGAUAUAUAUAACAAGGUAAAUACAAACAAAUGGAUGAAUGCGCCUAUAAAGGGACAUAUGUUGGAAAGAGUAAGAGCGCCUCAUUGUUUUUUUAUGUGCUUAGAUGAAAUAAUAAUAACAGAAUUAGUUAAAUUCUUGAAUUAUUUUUGUAACAUUAAAUUGUUCAACGUCAAAACUGAUUCUUUCAGUGUAUUACUUACUCAAAAAUAUGAUAUAUUAGUUAUAAAUAUGGAUAAUUUAAACACUCCUCAAAUUAAUACAUUAGUAGAAUUAAUGAAAAAUGGAGUAUAUAAAAAUAAAAAAUCAUCAUUUCCAAUAUCGAUUACCUUUUGGGUAUAUAUCGUUAAACCAUAUAUAAGAAGCGACGAAGAACUUGACAAGUAUGUACAAAAUAAUUUAUUAGCUCGUUUUGAUUUUUUGUUUGAGCUUAGUUUUGAAAAAGAUGAUGACGAUGAUGUGAUUGAUGAAAUAUUAAGAAAUGCUGAUGAUGAUAACGAUAAUUAUAAUGAAAUAAAAAAUAAAAUUUUUUUUUCUGAAUUGAUUGAUAAGUAUGCUUACUUAAAAAAAGGGAAUUUAUAUAAUUAUGAAUUUGUUGAAAUGAGUAAUACAACAAAAGCUAUAAUUCAAAAGUAUUUUAAUAUGGCUUCCGAUUCAACAACUUUAACUAUUUACCAUAUAGGCAUUUGUGAGUUAUUAUGUAUAAGUGUGUCCAUUUUAUUAGGAAAAAAGGAAUGCUUAAUAGAACAUGCUGUUUUAGGGAUGUUUUUAUAUGACAACUUUGUAUCAGCUACAAAAAACAAAUUAACUCAAUUCAAAAAAGAAUUUUUAAAUAGUAUACUGAACUGUUUAGAUACUAAAUAUAAUUCGUUACAAAAAUUAAUGAAUUAUUUUUCGACUUAUUUAAAUGCUAAAAAAGAUACGUAACAACAAAAUAAAUUAAUAUUUCAUUACUAAAAUAUUAUUUUA
rnacentral:lncRNA from 1 species